GAUGAACGCUAGCUACAGGCUUAACACAUGCAAGUCGAGGGACCGGCGCACGUGUGAGUAACACGUAUCCAACCUGCCCUUUACUCGGGGAUAGCCUUUCGCAAGAAAGAUUAAUACCCGAUGUAAAGGAUGGGGAUGCGUUCCAUUAGGUUGUUGGUGAGGUAACGGCUCACCAAGCCUUCGAUGGCUAGGGGUUCUGAGAGGAAGGUCCCCCAGAAUGGAACUGCGACACGGUCCAAACUCCGACGCGAGGCAGCAGUGAGUAAUAUUGGGCAAUGGGCGUUAGCAUGAACCAGCCAAGUAGCGUGAAGGAUGAAGGCUUAUGGGUGGUAAAUUUGUUUUAUAUAAGAAUAUGUAUUAUAUGAAUAAGGAUCGGCUAACUCCGUGCCAGCAGCCGCGGUAAUAC
rnacentral:rRNA from 1 species